AGAUCAUGCCACUGCACUCCAGCCUGGGCAACAGAGUGAGACUCCAUCUCAAAAACAAAAAAGAAAAAGAAAAAUUCCUCCUCUGGGUCCUCACAAAGAGAACGGUAAGAUGUGAUGCACAAUGCUUUUAACAAUAUUUCUGACAUAAACACAGUAAACCUCUUGAGACUGAGGCUUGUUAUUUUCUUAAUAUAAACUGAGGGUAUAAACUGAGGGUAUUACUCAAAGACAGUUCCUUAAAUACAAUUUGAUGAAGGUCCAACAAAGGCACUCUGAGGGUGCACAGGACCUUGGGAAGUCCAGCUUAACCCAAGGGUAGAAUUUGGAUAUUGAGAAGUAUAAAAGAACUGUCUUCAGGCAUUCCAGAUUAGUUCAAAAGAUUCUAAUAAUGAAUGUAUUUCUUAUGAUUGAGCUUUUGAUUAAAAGAGGACACUAGAUAGUUUGAGGUUAGAUUCUCUAACAAUACGCAGAGUGUCCUUAGGGAAGAUCCACACAGUUAAUGUGACAGUGUGACAGUCAGGGUAAGUUGAUGAGUUCCUAUAACUAUAGAAAGCACCUAAUAAGGGCUCUUGUCUAAUGUGGCAACCCCACCACUAUAGCAAGAAAGUCUAUGCUAGUCUUCAUUUUAAGAAAUCACUAUUAUAUGUUCACUGAUGCCCCCUCUCCCCUCUCAAAUAUAGCACAAAAUUAUAUAUACUUAUCUGGAGAUAAGAUACUGUUUUUUUUUUUUUUACCAAUAAAUAAACAAAUAAUAAAGAUUAACUAACUUCCAUAAGGGCCAUUCAUUUGCAAAUUCAGACUUUAGAACUCAUGUUUUCUAAUUUCCUCAUCCAAUGUUAAUUUCACAUUUUAGGUCUUUUCAUUGAAGUAUGAUAUAAAUACGGAAAAGUGGUAAAUGUCAAGUAGAUUUAGAGAUUCAAAAAAAAAAAAAAAUUAAAAAUGGUAAAUGUCCAGAUCCAUGAAUUGUUACUAACAAAGCCUCCAGAUCAAGA